rnacentral:rRNA from 1 species
GACGAACGCUGGCGGCGUGCCUAACACAUGCAAGUCGAACGGAACUGACGCCGGUUCUUCGGAACCAUUGUCAGUUUAGUGGCGGACGGGUGAGUAACGCGUGAGUAACCUGCCUCUGAGAGGGGAAUAACGUUCUGAAAAGAACGCUAAUACCGCAUAACAUAUAGAAGUCGCAUGGCUUUUAUAUCAAAGAUUUUAUCGCUCGGAGAUGGACUCGCGUCCGAUUAGUUAGUUGGUGAGGUAACGGCUCACCGAGACCGCGAUCGGUAGCCGGACUGAGAGGUUGAACGGCCACAUUGGGACUGAGACACGGCCCAGACUCCUACGGGAGGCAGCAGUGGGGGAUAUUGCGCAAUGGGGGCAACCCUGACGCAGCAACGCCGCGUGAAGGAUGAAGGUUUUCGGAUUGUAAACUUCUUUUAUCAGGGACGAAGAUUGACGGUACCUGAUGAAUAAGCUCCGGCUAACUACGUGCCAGCCGCCGCGGUAACAC